AUGCCUAACACAUGCAAGUCGAACGAUGCUUUCGGGCAUAGUGGCGCACGGGUGCGUAACGCGUGGGAAUCUGCCCCUUGGUUCGGAAUAACCGUUGGAAACGACGGCUAAUACCGGAUGACGACGUAAGUCCAAAGAUUUAUCGCCGAGGGAUGAGCCCGCGUAGGAUUAGCUAGUUGGUGUGGUAAAGGCGCACCAAGGCGACGAUCCUUAGCUGGUCUGAGAGGAUGAUCAGCCACACUGGGACUGAGACACGGCCCAGACUCCUACGGAAGGCAGCAGUGGGGAAUAUUGGACAAUGGGCGAAAGCCUGAUCCAGCAAUGCCGCGUGAGUGAUGAAGGCCUUAGGGUUGUAAAGCUCUUUUACCCGGGAUGAUAAUGACAGUACCGGGAGAAUAAGCUCCGGCUAACUCCGUGCCAGCAGCCGCGGUAAUACGGAGGGAGCUAGCGUUGUUCGGAAUUACUGGGCGUAAAGCGCACGUAGGCGGCUUUGUAAGUUAGAGGUGAAAGCCUGGAGCUCAACUCCAGAAUUGCCUUUAAGACUGCAUCGCUUGAAUCCAGGAGAGGUGAGUGGAAUUCCGAGUGUAGAGGUGAAAUUCGUAGAUAUUCGGAAGAACACCAGUGGCGAAAGCGGCUCACUGGACUGGUAUUGACGCUGAGUGCGAAAGCGUGGGGAGCAAACAGNAUUAGAUACCCUGGUAGUCCACGCCGUAANCGAUGAUANCUAGCUGUCCGGGGACUNGGUCUUUGGGUGGCGCAGCUAACGCAUUAAGUUAUCCGCCUGGGGAGUACGGCCGCAAGGUUAAAACUCAAAUGAAUUGACGGGGGCCUGCACAAGCGGUGGAGCAUGUGGUUUAAUUCGAAGCAACGCGCAGAACCUUACCAGCGUUUGACAUGUCCGGACGAUUUCGGGAGACCGAUCUCUUCCCUUCGGGGACUGGAACACAGGUGCUGCAUGGCUGUCGUUAGCUCGUGUCGUGAGAUGUUGGGUUAAGUCCCGCAACGAGCGCAACCCUCGCCUUUAGUUACCAUCAUUUAGUUGGGGACUCUAAAGGAACCGCCGGUGAUAAGCCGGAGGAAGGUGGGGAUGACGUCAAGUCCUCAUGGCCCUUACGCGCUGGGCUACACACGUGCUACAAUGGCGGUGACAGUGGGCAGCAAUCCUGCAAGGGUGAGCUAAUCUCCAAAAGCCGUCUCAGUUCGGAUUGCACUCUGCAACUCGAGUGCAUGAAGGCGGAAUCGCUAGUAAUCGCGGAUCAGCAUGCCGCGGUGAAUACGUUCCCAGGCCUUGUACACACCGCCCGUCACACCAUGGGAGUUGGGUUCACCCGAAGGCGUUGCGCUAACUCAGCAAUGAGAGGCAGGCGACCACGGUGGGCUUAGCGACUGGGGUGAAGUCGUAACAA
rnacentral:rRNA from 1 species